AGCGAACGCUGGCGGCAAGCUUAACACAUGCAAGUCGAGCGCCCCGCAAGGGGAGCGGCAGACGGGAGAGUAACACGUGGGAACGUACCCUUUGGUUCGGAACAACCCAGGGAAACUUGGGCUAAUACCGGAUAAGUCCGUAAGGAGAAAGAUUUAUCGCCGAAGGAUCGGCCCGCGUCUGAUUAGCUUGUUGGUGAGGUAACGGCUCACCAAGGCGACGAUCAGUAGCUGGUCUGAGAGGAUGAUCAGCCUCACUGGGACUGAGACACGGCCCAGACUCCUACGGGAGGCAGCAGUGGGGAAUAUUGGACAAUGGGGGCAACCCUGAUCCAGCCAUGCCGCGUGGGUGAUGAAGGCCUUAGGGUUGUAAAGCCCUUUCGGCGGGGAAGAUAAUGACGGUACCCGCAGAAGAAGCCCCGGCUAACUUCGUGCCAGCCGCCGCGGUAA
rnacentral:rRNA from 1 species